GCGGGUGUGGUGGAAUUGGUAGACGCGCUGGACUCAAAAUCCAGUUCCGAGAGGAGUGUCGGUUCGAGCCCGACCACCCGCACCA
rnacentral:tRNA from 4 species